rnacentral:rRNA from 1 species
CGGGGGGGGGGCAAGCGUUGUUCGGAAUUACUGGGCGUAAAGGGCGCGUAGGCGGACCAGACAGUCUCUCGUGAAAUCCCACGGGCUCAACCGUGGAACUGCGGGAGAUACUACUGGUCUUGAGUUCGGGAGAGGAGUGUGGAAUUCCCAGUGUAGCGGUGAAAUGCGUAGAUAUUGGGAGGAACACCGGUGGCGAAGGCGGCACUCUGGACCGAUACUGACGCUGAGGCGCGAAAGCUAGGGGAGCAAACGGGAUUAGAUACCCCGGUAGUCCUAGCUGUAAACGAUGAGCACUUGGUGUAGCGGGUAUCGACCCCUGCUGUGCCGGAGUUAACGCAUUAAGUGCUCCGCCUGGGGAGUACGGUCGCAAGGCUG